rnacentral:rRNA from 1 species
AGAGUUUGAUCCUGGCUCAGGAUGAACGCUAGCUACAGGCUUAACACAUGCAAGUCGAGGGGCAGCGGGAUUGAAGCUUGCUUCAAUUGCCGGCGACCGGCGCACGGGUGAGUAACGCGUAUCCAACCUUCCGUACACUCAGGGAUAGCCUUUCGAAAGAAAGAUUAAUACCUGAUGGUAUGAUGAGAUUGCAUGAUAGCAUCAUUAAAGAUUUAUCGGUGUACGAUGGGGAUGCGUUCCAUUAGGUAGUAGGCGGGGUAACGGCCCACCUAGCCAACGAUGGAUAGGGGUUCUGAGAGGAAGGUCCCCCACAUUGGAACUGAGACACGGUCCAAACUCCUACGGGAGGCAGCAGUGAGGAAUAUUGGUCAAUGGACGAGAGUCUGAACCAGCCAAGUAGCGUGAAGGAUGAAGGUCCUACGGAUUGUAAACUUCUUUUAUACGGGAAUAAAGUAUCCUACGUGUAGGAUUUUGUAUGUACCGUAUGAAUAAGCAUCGGCUAACUCCGUGCCAGCAGCCGCGGUAAUACGGAGGAUGCGAGCGUUAUCCGGAUUUAUUGGGUUUAAAGGGAGCGCAGACGGGUCGUUAAGUCAGCUGUGAAAGUUUGGGGCUCAACCUUAAAAUUGCAGUUGAUACUGGCGUCCUUGAGUGCGGUUGAGGUGUGCGGAAUUCGUGGUGUAGCGGUGAAAUGCUUAGAUAUCACGAAGAACUCCGAUUGCGAAGGCAGCACACUAAUCCGUAACUGACGUUCAUGCUCGAAAGUGUGGGUAUCAAACAGGAUUAGAUACCCUGGUAGUCCACACGGUAAACGAUGGAUACUCGCUGUUGGCGAUAUACUGUCAGCGGCUUAGCGAAAGCGUCAAGUAUCCCACCUGGGGAGUACGCCGGCAACGGUGAAACUCAAAUGAAUUGACGG